rnacentral:rRNA from 2 species
AACAAUGAGUGCUUGCACUCAGCGUUUUAAGUGCGAGUGGCGAACGGGUGAGUAACACGUGGGCAAUCUGCCCAAAAGUGGGGGAUAACACUUGGAAACAGGUGCUAAUACCGCAUCAACCGGCUGACCGCAUGGUCGGCCGGGCAAAGACGGCGUCCGCUGUCGCUUUUGGAUGAGCCCGCGGCGUAUUAACUAGUUGGUAAGGUAACGGCUUACCAAGGUGAUGAUACGUAGCCGAACUGAGAGGUUGAUCGGCCACAUUGGGACUGAGACACGGCCCAAACUCCUACGGGAGGCAGCAGUAGGGAAUCUUCCACAAUGGACGCAAGUCUGAUGGAGCAACGCCGCGUGUAUGAAGAAGGUCUUCGGAUCGUAAAAUACUGUUGUCAGAGAAGAACAC